rnacentral:lncRNA from 1 species
CAAUUGGCUCGGCCUCAAUUCACUUUGUGAAGUACUCAAUGGCUACCACGAGGUACUUCAUGUGACGAAUUGCCAAAAGGAAAGUACCCAAGAUUUUUAUCCCCUAAGUAUGGAAAGGCCAUGGGCUGUAGAUUGACCACAACUCCUCAGGUGGUGUGUGGUGUCAAUCAGCAUGCAUCUGACACUGCUCGCAUUGUUGUGCAUGCCUCACACAAUCCUCCUUCAUGGUCGAUUAAUAAUACCCAACUCGGACGACCUUCAAC